GACGAACGCUGGCGGCGUGCUUAACACAUGCAAGUCGAACGGUGAUCUUGAGAGCUUGCUCUUGGGUGAUCAGUGGCGAACGGGUGAGUAACACGUGAGUAACCUGCCCUGACUCUGGAAUAACUUCGGGAAACCGAAGCUAAUACCGGAUAUGACACAGAGCCGCAUGGUUUCUGUGUGGAAAGUUUUUCGGUUGGGGAUGGACUCGCGGCCUAUCAGCUUGUUGGUGAGGUAAUGGCUCACCAAGGCGACGACGGGUAGCCGGCCUGAGAGGGCGACCGGCCACACUGGGACUGAGACACGGCCCAGACUCCUACGGGAGGCAGCAGUGGGGAAUAUUGCACAAUGGGCGAAAGCCUGAUGCAGCGACGCCGCGUGAGGGAUGAAGGCCUCGGUGUAAACCUCUUUCAGUAGGGAAGAAGCGCAAGUGACGGUACCUACAGAAGAAGCACCGGCUAACUACGUGCCAGCAGCCGCGGUAAU
rnacentral:rRNA from 1 species